rnacentral:rRNA from 1 species
UACGUAGGUGGCAAGCGUUGUCCGGAAUUAUUGGGCGUAAAGCGCGCGCAGGUGGUUUCUUAAGUCUGAUGUGAAAGCCCACGGCUCAACCGUGGAGGGUCAUUGGAAACUGGGGAACUUGAGUGCAGAAGAGGAAAGUGGAAUUCCAAGUGUAGCGGUGAAAUGCGUAGAGAUUUGGAGGAACACCAGUGGCGAAGGCGACUUUCUGGUCUGUAACUGACACUGAGGCGCGAAAGCGUGGGGAGCAAACAGG